rnacentral:rRNA from 1 species
AGUCGAACGCACCCGCUUCGGCGGGUGAGUGGCGCACGGCUGAGUAACACGUGGGAACCUGCCCCCCGGUGGGGGAUAACGCGACGAAAGUUGCGCUAAUCCCGCAUACGUCCUUCGGGGGAAAGCGCAGUGCGCGCCGGGGGAGGGGCCUGCGGCCCAUCAGGUCGUUGGUGGGGUAAUGGCCUACCAAGCCGAUGACGGGUAGCUGGUCUGGGAGGAUGACCAGCCAGACUGGGACUGAGACACGGCCCAGACUCCUAAGUCAUACGGGAGGCAGCAGCAAGGAAUUUUCGGCAAUGGGCGCAAGCCUGACCGAGCAACGCCGCGUGCGGGAUGACGGCCUUCGGGUUGUAAACCGCUUUUCGGGGGGACGAC